UAGUCCGCACGAGCGCACCCUCAUUUUUAGUUGCCUUAUGGAACUCUAGAAAGACUGCCGGUUAUAAACCGGAGGAAGGCGGGGAUGACGUCAAGUCAGCAUGCCCCUUACACCCUGGGCUACACACGUGCUACAAUGGGUGAGACAAUGAGAUGCAACUCUGCGAAGACAAGCUAAUCUAUAAACUCACUCUAAGUUCGGAUUGUAGGCUGCAACUCGCCUGCAUGAAGUUGGAAUCGCUAGUAAUCGCUGGUCAGCAAACCGCGGUUAAAUCCUUCCCGGGCCUU
rnacentral:rRNA from 1 species